UGGCUGCCAUUUUCCUCGUUUAAUUUGUCCAUUUUCUUUUUAAAUUAUUCCCCCUUAUUGACAUUUAAGUCAUUGGAAUAAACAGCUGUUCCCUAAUAAUGGUUGACAACAUUCUUCUUCUUCUUCUUCUGGCUAUCAAUUAUUUUCAUGGUUACCCCUUUUUAAGGCGCACACCACAAAGCCAACUAUCCUGCUGAUAUCCUUAUCGAAGGAUAGGGGGAAAAAAGUGCGACAUUCGAUAUAAAAAUAAAAAAAAAAUCAUUGUUUAUGAUACGGCAAUUGAAAAAAAAAUCGAUGUUUGGCAUCCCUAACAAUCGUGGUUUGGCAUCCCUAACACUCAUUUUCUGAUUUUCCAAAAUAAAAUUUAAUUCCGAACUGAUUUAUUUAUUACAGUGUAAACGCUCCAUUUUCGUCUAUACGAACCUGGUAUAAAGUUUACGUCAUACGCUACGCGUUAUCGUUUAGUCUGACGUAACGUAACUAUCGAUAGUAGUGAUGUUUAUGAAUGAAAACAAUCGGAGUACGAUUGUAUUGUAAAUUUUUGGCGGAUUAGCACGCGGACGGACGGACAAUUUUGGAGCUGCAGAAAUUAUUAAAUUUUGGAUUUUUUUUGCACGAGUUUAGCCUGAAAGAAAGGUGAGUUGAGCAUGGUGUCUUCUUUUUCCGUAGGGGUACCAUCAACUAGGACCCCCAGCUUUGGUCAGAAAGUUGGAUACGACAUUACUCCAAAUAUACCUAGGUGUGUUUGGUUUUGUCUUCCCGAUUUCAGACUCUAUCUUCAUAAUUCGAUGACUGACAGCUCUGCGACCUUGUGUACAACACUCUUCUGCCUUGUGCCAUGGAUGCGUAUGGGUAUACAAAGGAAGAGUGCACAAAUGGUCAAAGACAGUCAUAAAUUGACUGCUCAGGAAUCGUUAACAUAUUGUUAGAGUCCGUAAAUUUGGGAUGCUUCUAUCGUAAUCCAGCGUAUUCUUUCUGACCUCUGCUGUUGGUGUCUAGGAGAUUGGCCUCCUAUGGAAACCAAGAAAAGUUUUCCAUAAUCUCACAAGACAACCCAAAAAGUUGCCCGAAUUGGAUAUCUAAUUCACAAAAGGCAUUCAUUACCUUUAGGUGGUGGAAUUGGUCUGACCUGCAAAAACAGGAAAUACAAUGGAUGGUAAGUUCGAGCAAUCCUGUUCUACUUUUCUUCCAGCAGAUGUACCAUCGCCUGGACCUUCAGCUUUUGCCAGAAUGUCGGAUACGAUGGCUUACGAAUGCACUGAGGUGUAUUUGUUUCUUUUUGUCUACCGGCUUCCAGACUCUAGCGUCGUAAGGCGAGUGACGGACUGAUCUGCGACCUCGUGUACAACAGUUCCCUGGCCCGUGCCAUAGAGCAAACGGCUACUGCGGUACCUAUCGCGAAAGGGGAAUUGCACUAAUGGUCAAGGACAGUCACUACGUGACUGCUCCGAAAGCGCAGACAUCAGCUAGAGUCGGCAAACCCGGAGUGCUUUGAUUCGUACUCUGACUUCGAAAUUCUGACUUCUGCUGUUAGAGUCUAGGAGAUUGGACGCCUGUUCGAAUGAAAAAAAACAGGGUUCCGAACUACACCAUCAUCCAAAAUUCUAAGCGAGACCUAAGUGGGACUACGGUCGGCGCUAAGAUAAACGUAAGAUGUAGUUUUAAUUCUCUUUCGUAGUUUUUGUAAUUUUGCUCUGGAAAAUGAGAAAAAUUAUGAGAACUCUAUUUCUUAUAACCAUAAAAUUUAUAAAAAAUUUCAGCCAAGCCCCUUUGUAAGUAUGGCAUUUCAUUUUUAAUUUCUUUUCUUUCUUUUGAGAUGUUCAUUUCAUUACAUUUAUUUUUCCAACCAUAUUACCUCAUGACAUUUCACUAAUUCCUUCUUUUUCCUUUACUUUUAUGGCUAAAAAUUGGAGAAAUUGGGUUCAACCCUUACCCAUACACUCAACUACAAAUCACUUAUGAAGAGAAAGCUGCCCUACAGCUUGUAUCAGCUUAGGAAUAAUAAAGGACAUUUCGUAAGUCGUAAUUCAGGUAUUACUUCAACUAAAUUCGAACGGAUUUCCCGGAACUCUUGGAAAAUUCAGGCCCUUUGAAAAUUGACACGGCGUAUCAACCCUUCAAGCCGAAAUUGACUGAAAAAAAUAAAUAAAUGCUAAAGAUAGGUGGUGGGAUAAAAGGUAAACUUAAAGGGUUUCGGUGAGUUCUACUGGAAAAAACUGAGGAAUUUAACUGGAAUAUGGAAUAGGCGGCUUUCCCCAGACCUUCCUAAGAAAUUCCAUGACAAUACGGCCCCUGGUCAAAAACCAAGAUUGUCGCAGGACCAAAGGAAAACUCCGGGUUCGAUGGCGGGUAUCAAGAGUUAGGACCACUGACGGCAGCUAAUGGACAAGGUUCUUCCCAAAGAGCCAGGACAAACAAAAGGCAGUAUGUCGACACCACAAAAACAAUCGACGAGAAAAAAAAGUGGAUACCUAACCUCGAAAUGAGCUCAAUUCAACGAGGGAUCCUGCACUGCAACACCAGG